CCUACGGGAGGCAGCAGUGAGGAAUAUUGGUCAAUGGCCGGAAGUCUGAACCAGCCAAGCCGCGUGAAGGACGAAGGUGCCAAGCAUUGUAAACUUCUUUUGUCAAGGGACAAACUCAGGCUCGAGAGCCUGACCGAGGGUACUUGAUGAAAAAGCAUCGGCUAACUCCGUGCCAGCAGCCGCGGUAAUACGGAGGAUGCGAUCGUUAUCCGGAUUGAUUGGGUUAAAGGGGUGCGUAGGCGGACUGUUAAGUCAGCGGUAAAAGCCCGGGGCGCAACCCCGGCGAGCCGUUGAAACUGGCUGUCUUGAGAUGGCGAGAGGUAGGCGGAAUGCGCAGUGUAGCGGUGAAAUGCUUAGAUAUUGCGCAGAACUCCGAUUGCGAAGGCAGCAUACCGGAGGCGAUCUGACGCUGAGGCACGAAAGCGUGGGUAUCGAACAGGAUUAGAUACCCGAGUAGUC
rnacentral:rRNA from 1 species